CCUACGGGCGGCAGCAGUCGAGAAUCAUUCACAAUGGGGGAAACCCUGAUGGUGCGACGCCGCGUGGGGGAAUGAAGGUCUUCGGAUUGUAAACCCCUGUCAUGUGGGAGCAAAUUAAAAAGUUAGUACCACAUGAGGAAGAGACGGCUAACUCGGUGCCAGCAGCUGCGGUAAUACAGAGGUCUCAAGCGUUGUUCGGAAUCACUGGGCGUAAAGCGUGCGUAGGCUGUUUAGUAAGUCGGGUGUGAAAGGGGGGGGCUCAACCCGCGGAGGGCAAAUGAUACUGCGAGACUAGAGUAAAGGAGAGGGAAGCGGAAUUCUCGGUGUAGCAGUGAAAUGCGUAGAUAUCGAGAGGAACACUCGUGGCGAAGGCAGGUUCCUGGACAUUAACUGACGCUGAGGCACGAAGGCCAGGGGAGCGAAAGGGAUUAGAUACCCGUGUAGUC
rnacentral:rRNA from 1 species